UACGUAGGGCGCAAGCGUUGUCCGGAAUUAUUGGGCGUAAAGAGCUCGUAGGCGGCUUGUCACGUCGAUUGUGAAAGCCCGAGGCUUAACCUCGGGUCUGCAGUCGAUACGGGCUAGCUAGAGUGUGGUAGGGGAGAUCGGAAUUCCUGGUGUAGCGGUGAAAUGCGCAGAUAUCAGGAGGAACACCGGUGGCGAAGGCGGAUCUCUGGACAGUUCCUGACGCUGAGGCACGAAGGUCAGGGGAGCAAACGGG
rnacentral:rRNA from 1 species